GGAAGUAAAAGUCGUAAAGGUUUCCGUAGGUGAACCUGCGGAAGGAUCAUUAUUGUAUAACCGAGGUGCGAGGGCUGUCGCUGACCCGAAAGGUCGUGCACGCCCGAGUGCCCUCACACACAUCCAUCUCACCCCUAUGUGCACCACCGCGUGGGUCCCCCUUUGGCUUGUUCGGAGGGGGGCUUACGUUUUCACACAAACUUUGUAUGCAGUGUAGAAUGUAUUUUUUGUUUUUGCGAUCACGCAAUCAAUACAACUUUCAACAACGGAUCUCUUGGCUCUC
rnacentral:misc_RNA from 1 species